UAACAUAUGCUAUUAUUGAUGCAUUCAAUAUUUUUAAAUGAUGUUAUAUGGACAUGUUAGCAAAUGCCAGGCACUUGGGUGAUUUUGGAAAAAUGCUGUUGAGGUCAGAAAUAGCUAAUGUGAGUCUAACUGUCCUGUGUCUAACUUUUGUGGUUAAUUAGUUUAUUUUAAACUGAUUUUGUUGUGAAAUGAAAUGUAAAUAAGUGCACAAGGUGAAAAUAGAAAUUGAAUAUUGCACAAUGAAGCAAAAAAUUUGUGUUUUAACAAGCAACUCUGGAAAGAAAAUAUUGUUCAAAGUCCAGGAAAUACCUUCAGCUAUUUGCUACUCUUUCUUCUCUUCCUUGCCUCUAAUGAACUGCUGUCUACAUGUUAACAUUGCACAUACCUUAUCCUGCAUUAAACUUUACAUCAAAUUUGUAUGUAUAUGUUUGUAUGUGCAUCAUAUUUUGUUUAGAUUUCUAUUUUUUGAGUUUAUUUUGUUGCAAGUACCCACACCUAGUUAACUUUAUUGACAUCGAGGUUUUCAUUACAUGACAUUGACACCAAUUCAUUACAUGUACAUAGCACAUUUUCUGAAAUAAUUCUACUAUCAAUUUGGGUUAUGUUCAUUUCUGUCUACGGAUCAAUACAAGCAUGGGUCUACAGAUGUCUUUAUGCAUGAAUUUAAGAAUGAGUAUCUCUAUUUUUCUGGAAUGAAACUUCAGAUGGAAUGGCUGUAUUAUAGGAUGUACAGAUGCACAUGACAGACAGAUAAUAGCAAACCGUUUUCCUCAUACAGGUGUAUUAAAUAUAAAUACUCUGUGUCAUUGCAUAUUUUGGUGGGGGGAGUUUAAGCAAAAUAAAAACAAACCAUGACAAGAGGGCUGUCUCAGAGCAAAUGAAUGAUGGUAGCAAUCCUAAAACACCAUAUAACUGUUCUAUAACUGUGGAGAUUCAUUGUUCUUUGUGAGUAUAGAGGUUGUGUUCAUACUUGAGUCUAUCACCUUCUCCUAUAUUCCAAUAGUCAUCUGCUUUUUGUGAAGCAGAUAUGUUGUGGGAUGCUAAUUCCAAUUUGGAAUUUAAUGGAGGGCAAACAAUUAAGCUAAAAACCUAGGCAUAGUUCAGCAUCCAGCUGGAGUUAUUGGCUUUCUGUGCAUCAUCCUCCAUGAAACAUACAGGGAGACUUUCCAUGGGUAUUUAGAAAGUAAGCAUCCUCUCUUUUAAAGCAAACUUUUGUAAAUGUUCAUUCCUUCGAAGACUUAAAACAGGGGAGCAGAAAAAGAAAGAGCUGUCCACACCUUGUGACCACAUGAUCAAAGCAAAUUUUUGUUUGAUAGCAUGCAGGAAAAUUGGAAGAGACAAAGAUAAAGAGUCUAGUUUGUGGUGGUGUUUCAUUUAUAUUUUUUUGAGACAAGUUUUCAUUAUGUAACCCGUGUAUAACCCAGAAUUCUUACACAUUCUGGGACUGCUUCAUAUUCAUGGCAGUCUUCCUGCAUGGAUUCUCAUGUGCUGAGAAAAUAGACAUAAACAACCAUGUUAAGCCUGAACCUGUGUUUUUAAUUCACAAUUUAAAACUGCUUUAAUGCUCAUGGAAGUCCAUCCUGCCUCUGCCAUUAUAAUUAUUUGUUUUCCUGUUUUCCAAAUUAAUGUGGAGGUUCUGACACUUGUCUUUAAGAUUCAUUUCAGCUAGUGAAAUUUAUUUGUGAUAGAUUGUUAAUAAAUAUUUUUUAUUUU
rnacentral:lncRNA from 1 species